rnacentral:rRNA from 1 species
UACGGAGGGUGCGAGCGUUGUCCGGAAUCACUGGGCGUAAAGGGCGCGUAGGCGGCUCGGUAAGCGUGCGGUGAAAGCCCGGGGCUCAACCCCGGGUCGGCCGUGCGAACUGGCGAGCUGGAGCACUGUAGAGGCGGGUGGAAUUCCGGGUGUAGCGGUGGAAUGCGUAGAGAUCCGGAAGAACACCAGUGGCGAAGGCGGCCCGCUGGGCAGUGGCUGACGCUGAAGCGCGACAGCGUGGGGAGCAAACAG